GGCGUAACCCUUUUAGGGAGCGAGCCGUCUAAGGUGGGACAAAUGAUUAGGGUGAAGUCGUAACAAGGUAGCCGUAGGAGAACCUGCGGCUGGAUCACCUCCUUUCUAAGGAAACAGACUGAAAGUCUGACGGAAACCUGCACACACGAAACUUUGUUUAGUUUUGAGGGGAUCACCCUCAAGCACCCUAACGGGUGCGACUUUGUUCUUUGAAAACUGGAUAUCAUUGUAUUAAUUGUUUUAAAUUGCCGAGAACACAGCGUAUUUGUAUGAGUUUCUGAAAAAGAAAUUCGCAUCGCAUAACCGCUGACGCAAGUCAGUACAGGUUAAGUUACAAAGGGCGCACGGUGGAUGCCUUGGCACUAGGAGCCGAUGAAGGACGGAACUAAUACCGAUAUGCUUCGGGGAGCUAUAAGUAAGCUUUGAUCCGGAGAUUUCCGAAUGGGGGAACCCAGUACACAUCAGUGUAUUGCUUGUCAGUGAAUACAUAGCUGGCCGGCGGCAGACGCGGGGAACUGAAACAUCUCAGUACCCGCAGGAAGAGAAAGAAAACUCGAUUCCCAUAGUAGCGGCGAGCGAAGUGGGAAGAGCCCAAACCGAGAAGCUUGCUUCUCGGGGUUGUAGGACUGGACAUUGGAGUUACCAAAGUCCGACGUAGUCGAAGUCAGCUGGAAAGCUGCGCCACAGAAGGUGAAAGCCCUGUAAGCGAAACGUCGAACCCUCCGUCCAGGAUCCUGAGUACGGCGGAACACGUGAAAUUCCGUCGGAAUCCGGGAGGACCAUCUCGCAAGGCUAAAUACUCCCUAGUGACCGAUAGUGAACCAGUACCGUG
rnacentral:misc_RNA from 1 species